AAACUUUCAACAACGGAUCUCUUGGCUCUGGCAUCGAUGAAGAACGCAGCGAAAUGCGAUACGUAAUGUGAAUUGCAGAAUCCAGUGAAUCAUCGAAUCUUUGAACGCACAUUGCGCCCGCCAGCAUUCUGGCGGGCAUGCCUGUUCGAGCGUCAUUU
rnacentral:rRNA from 1 species